rnacentral:tRNA from 1 species
GCCUUUAUCGUCUAGUGGUCUAGGACAUCUUUUUUUCAGAAAGAAAACAAGGAUUCAAAUUCCUUUAUGGGCA